AAUCACUCCACAGUAUUCCCAAAUAUUCGACAGCACUUUCAAAUAGUUUGUAAUAAUAUUCACUAGUUUCACCUUUAAUCGUUAGCCACAAGUUCAAAAAUUUCGCGACGAACUCGGACUGAUCGUAGUAAUUCGCGACGGUAAACUGACUGACAGUAUAGAGAAGAGGAAAUCAUAGGGAUUUCAUGAGAAAGUGGUAGUAAUGCUGGCAGUACGAACAAAUGCGUCGCGAUUGGAAUAUCGGAUCAUCACUAGAAGUAGGCGAUAUAAAUGUGUGGGAGUAAUAUAGGGAUAGGUUUAGGCAAUAUUUUUCGGAUGGUUAUCUGAAAUAGAAGCAAUUAGCUUCAGUUUAAUUCGGUACGUCGCGUAGUUUGGUCGAGUCGUCACUUGACAGUGAAGUUAUUAGCUUCGGUUCGGUUUAGUUGUAAUUUCUCGGAUUGAAAUCUGAGAAGGCUAUCGUAGCCAUACGUGUUAGGAGGGGGAAGAAUUAGAAGAAGAAGUGGAGUAGUGGAAGUGAUGAUCCGUAAAAAAAUAGAAGAAGAGGAGAAAAAGAAAAUUAUAAGGCAGUACGAGUUCUGUGAAUAAUCUGAAAAUGGCAAAUGGUGUAAGAAAAAGCAUGUUAAAAAAAAUAUAUAUAUGGUCAAUAUAGUGUUAAAAUAAAAGUGAAGGCAUGCUGUACAAAUAAAAUAGAAAAGUAAUGCAAAACAAGCGGUGAAUAAUGGAUAACCGCGAAGAUUACCGAUUUGGAUUAAAAUAUUUAUGGGAUUGUUCGCAUGUCAAAAUAAGUCGCACGCAAAGCAUCACAACGAAAACAGUGAAUCUGUCAACAUGCAAAAUUCCGGACUUGUUUUUGCAACCCAAUAUUGCUUUUUGGGUUGUAUUCGAUUGCCUUUGCCAACCAAAACCAGAAAUGCAGAAGUUCACGCAAAUGUGUCGUCGAUAUUAAUACCCUAUCGUUUAUUUCACGGAACAAGAAGAUAAUUCGCAUGAGUCGGAACUUCUGGCCGACAAGAAAGAUGGCGCAGUAUCUCCACAUGCUAACGACGUGCACUCCGAUGAGAUAUUACUCCGAAGCGGCCACCUUUGCAUUUUAGACGCAGCUGUAACGUGUAGUACAAAUUAAUUCUAAAAAUGCAAUUAAACAUUAAAAGCUA